rnacentral:tRNA from 2 species
GCCCUCAUCGUUCAACGGAUAGGACAUUAGAUUGCGGAUCUGAAAAUUGAGGUUCGAUUCCUCAUGAGGGCACAA